rnacentral:rRNA from 1 species
UACGUAGGUGGCAAGCGUUGUCCGGAUUUACUGGGCGUAAAGAGCGCGCAGGCGGUCGUUCAAGUCGCGUGUGAAAGCCCCCGGCUCAACUGGGGAGGGUCACGCGAUACUGAUCGACUCGAAGGCAGGAGAGGGUAGUGGAAUUCCCGGUGUAGUGGUGAAAUGCGUAGAUAUCGGGAGGAACACCAGUGGCGAAGGCGGCUACCUGGCCCACUCUUGACGCUGAGGCGCGAAAGCUAGGGGAGCAAACGGG